UGGGAAUAAUAAAUAGUCUAA
ensembl:piRNA 21ur-3133 ncRNA